UUCUAUUAGCCUCGAUCCCAGGCCGAGUUUUCGCUUUUAUAACGGUUAGGCGAACAACUGGGCCUGGUACUAGUUGUCUGCGCAUGCGUCAGUCGUUCGUCAGAUUCUGACGAAUGGAUAUUCUCGUUCACUUUGGUGACAUUUAUAUUUGUGUACUAUCGUGUACUAGAAGUCAGUUCCCGUUUUAUCAUUAUUGGAAUCGAUUGGAAUGGCUCUUAGCUGAAGCUUCUCUCUUCUCUGAAGCUUAUUCUGAAGACUGAACAACAAGGGAAGAGGUAUAAAGCUUUGUCAAGCUUGUUAAGGUCAGAUAUUUUUGUGUGGGCCCUAUGGCCGGCUAGGCUAUGCUAUCAAGUCUUGUUCAUGUUUGGCAAGAAUGUAGGUAGACUAUAGUUUCAUCAUUAAUAUGGUGGAUCAAGUGAAGAGUGUGAGCUAGAGAACUUGGUGCUGCCAUCAUCAGCUCGUCGACAAUGACACUAUAACCGAGAAAUUUAAUAUGUAUAGAUCUACACGUAUUUAAAAUGUCUACUUCUCUGUACAGGAGCAAUGGCUAAUAUCCAGCUAUCCCAACAGUGCUCCUCUUGGCUAUACUAACGGACGAGACUGGACAGUUUGAGACACAGGACUGGAGUAUGACCUGCUCAUUCGAGCGUUGCUGGGUAGCUCAGAGACAUCAAGAGAAUCUACGUUUUCUCAAGUAAUGAGUUACGAGUUGGGGCCUAGAAUCAGAGAAGUCCAGCAGCCUGCUAAAUCUUUUUGAAACGUAAUUUGAAGGCAUUCAAUCAUCCUGAAGUUGCCCUGGGUCACUGUAAUUGUGCUGCAGCACAACUGGCAACUCCCCAGGCCUUUGUGAAGCAGCUCCCUAUGUGCAUCUUUUGUGUACUCACUCUGUGCAUUUUCUGUGUACAAAUUUCUAUUAUUGAUUUAUUAAAUAUUUUUGCCGACCACAAA